rnacentral:rRNA from 1 species
GUUUCUGGCCAUACCACCCUGAAUGCACCUGAUCUUGUCUGAUCUCGGAAGCUUAGCAGGGUCAGGCCUGGUUAGUACUUGGAUGGGAAAGUAAGCUUAACAUGACAAAGGGUACUAUAAGUA